ACUAGUGGGGUGUUGCAAGAAAGUUACGUUGCAAUUGAUUGCAAAUCGACUGCAACUUUGCAGCCGAUUCCGAUCGACUGCAACUAGCAAUCAAUCGCCAAUUUGCGUUGCAAGAAAAAGGCUUGCGAUUGAACGCAAGUUGCAGCUGAUCUGCAGACGAUUUGCAGCUGUAAACAGGGUCUGCAGCACAAGACUAGCCGAAAAAGCAAAAUAAUGGCUUGCAACAAUCCUGUUUGUGGAAGAGAUUAUGACAAAGAAGUCUGGAACCUCAGAACCACCAUAACUGUGUCUGCUACAAUGUGUGUUCUUGCAACCAGCUGAUUGAUUCAUUUUAUCAACUCUUGAAUGGUUGAUUAUCAGAACUGAAUUCAGAGAUGCUCCUGUCUGUAGUAACAUCAUUAUAAGAGUGGACUUCAGAAUGAGGGCGUUGCUUGUUUAAAAACUUCACUCCAUGGAGCUCUCCAAAUUUAUCUCAAAUUAGACUGCUUCUGGAAACCAGAUUUGUUCCUUCAAGCAGAGACGAUUGUGGCUUUCCUGACUGGACUUCUAUGGAUUCUUCAUGCCAACCUUAAGGACUGUGGUCUUCUGCAUGAGACACAUCAAUUUCAAACAAGACAUUCUGUGGUGAAACACUUGAUGAAGAUGAUAUGAAAUUUUUAUUUCAUAUAACUGAAUCUCAGAAGUAAUUCCUCGAGAGCAAGAAACAUUGAAAAAUGAAAAUAAAAGGUCCAUCAAUAA